GGAACCCCCGCAACCAGGGGAGGCUCCAGGGCGGCACGGGGACCUCGGGGACGGGGAUCCCCGGGUCCGGACGAGGCCCCGCCCUGCCCCCCGGGCCCUGCUGGUCACCUUGCUGCUGAGAUCACCGGAACACAGUUUCUGGACUGGUUCCCAUCCGACUCCGGCCUGCUGUGAGCUCCCUGAACUACAGCUGAAGAAAUAGAAGAUUGAUACCUGAAUGCAUUAAAGAGAAGGCUAGGGAAAGCCCAUCAUGUUUAUCCUGCCGGAUGACUGUCUUUCAAAGUUCAGCUCCAUCACAUCCUGUAGCAGAUGUUGGGGAUAAAAUGGUGAGCGAAAGCAAGCACGUAAAAAAGAACUGCUUAGGAUUCACUUUAGCAAUCAGUGACAGAGCCCCUAAAAUAACAAUGGCUUAAGCAUGAUAGAAUUUUAUUUUUCUCUCAUCAAACUGUUCAGAUCUAUGAUCUAGACUUGGAGUGAUAGAAUUAGGCUUCUCUACCUUGCUGCUCUGUCAACCUCAUCCUGCAGCUAUCACUUGAUUCAGAUGUCUGCCGCAGCUCUGAUUCUCUUGUUUAAGCCAAAAGGAAAGAAGAAAGGAGAAAGAGAUAAGUAUUUAUCUUCUCUUUACAGUCACUUCUGAAAGUCAUAUUUAUCACUUUCACCCUUUCCAGAACUUAGUUAUACAACUACGACUAGUCUUCGUUAGUGGCAGCCAGAUGCCCGGCCAAAAAUUGAAGAAAGACAGACAUAUAUUGAGAGCAAUGGACUGUGUUGCAGAAGGAAGAGAAUCAGAAUGAAUAUUUCAGCCUCAGGGCUGAAAAAUAGAGUUGGAUAGAAGUAAUUGCUCUUUUAAUGUCUUUUAAAAUCUUCA